rnacentral:rRNA from 1 species
GGGGGGGGGGGGGGGGGGGGGGGGGGGGGGGGGGUCGGACGGAGGGGGCGGGCUUUUGUGGGGGGCUCGGGGGGGGAGAGGGGGAGUCACAGGUGAGUAACCUGCCCUGGACUUUGGGGUAACUUCAGGAGCCUGGUGCGCAGACCGGAGAGGAGCUCCUGCUGCGUGGUGUGGUUUGGAACGUUUCGGCGGUUGGGGAUGGACUCGCGUCUUAUCAGCUUGUUGGUGGGGUAGUUGCUUACCAAGGCUUUGACGGGUAGCCGGCCUGAGAGGCUGACCGGCCACAUUGGGACUGAGAUACGGCCCAGACUCCUACGGGAGGCAGCAGUGGGGAAUAUUGCACAAUGGGCGGAAGCCUGAUGCAGCAACGCCGCGUGCGGGAUGACGGCCUUCGGGUUGUAAACCGCUUUCGCCUGUGACGAAGCGUGAGUGACGGUAAUGGGUAAAGAAGCACCGGCUAACUACGUG